UAGCUGAGUUGGUAAAGAAUCUGCCUGCAAUGCAGGAGACCUGGGUUUGAUUCCUGG
rnacentral:tRNA from 1 species